rnacentral:rRNA from 1 species
AACGCGAAGAACCUUACCAGGGCUUGACAUAUACGUGGUAGCGAGUCGAAAGAUGAGCGACCCUUCGGGGAGCGUAUACAGGUGCUGCAUGGCUGUUGUCAGCUCGUGCCGUGAGGUGUUAGGUUAAGUCCUGUCCCGAGCGCAACCCUCGUCCCUAGUUACAUGUGUCUAGCGAGACUGCCCGUGAUAAACGGGAGGAAGGUGGGGAUGACGUCAAGUCAGCAUGGCCUUUAUGUCCUGGGCUACACCCACGCUACAAUGGCCGGUACAAUGGGUAGCCAAACCGCGAGGGGGAGCCAAUCCUCCAAAACCAAUCUCAGUUAAGAUUGUCGGUUGCAACUCGCCUGCUUGAACUCGGAGUUGUUAAUAUACACUCGUUAGCAAUGGUGCAUUAACUAGGUUCCGGGAACUCUGACCCGGGUCUUGUACACACCG